rnacentral:rRNA from 1 species
AACGAACGCUGGCGGCAUGCCUAACACAUGCAAGUCGAACGAGACCUUCGGGUCUAGUGGCGCACGGGUGCGUAACGCGUGGGAACCUGCCCUUAGGUUCGGAAUAACUCCCCGAAAGGGGUGCUAAUACCGGAUAAUGUCUUCGGACCAAAGAUUUAUCGCCUUUGGAUGGGCCCGCGUUGGAUUAGCUAGUUGGUAGGGUAAAAGCCUACCAAGGCGACGAUCCAUAGCUGGUCUGAGAGGAUGAUCAGCCACACUGGGACUGAGACACGGCCCAGACUCCUACGGGAGGCAGCAGAGGGGAAUAUUGGACCAUGGGCGAAAGCCUGAUCCAGCACUGCCGCGUGAGUGAUGAAGGCCUUAGGGUUGUAAAGCUCUUUUACCCGGGAUGAUAAUGACAGUACCGGGAGAAUAAGCUCCGGCUAACUCCGUG